UGUGUAAACACGGCAUUCACUCCUUUACAAACAGAAGAAGACGCGACAGUGGACACCGGGCUUCGCACCUCUCGCUCUGUUGAAGAAAAAAACACCCUCCACACAGCGACGGCGCUGGAUCACUGCCACUAGUCACUGCCUUUCCUGACCACAGAUGACAUCAGUGACAUUUAUUCCAGACUGGUUGUGGAGGCAGCAGGCCUUCAGCCCACUAUUAGGCAAGAAGAGACCAGCAGCGCUGAAGAGGAAGUGAAGAGAUACCAGGAGGCUUCUCUGCCACUAGAAGAAAACCCCUCAACUGGUGGAAAGCUCAUGAGAUAAUGUAUCCUUACCUAGCCAAACUCGCUAAAAGAUACCUGAGCAUUCCAGGCACUAGUGCAUCUGCUGAUAGGGUGUUCUCCACUGCAGGAGAUAUAGUAACGGCCCAGGGGAGCACUUUAACAUCUGAGCAUGUUGAACAACUCCUUUUUCUAAACACAAAUGGCAAUAUUCCCAAAUGAAUUUUGGUUGAUGACCUUGCAGCCAACACAGGACUGGACUCUAGCAGUAUACAUUUUUGUUUAUUUUUCUCAAUUUGAUUGAAGCUCUAAGUUACUUCUAUGUAUAUGAUUACUCUCAGGUUUAUGUUCUUUCAUGUCUGCUUUAUGUUACUCUAUUGUAUUUAAAUAAUUUUAAGUUAUAUGCUGGGAGCUCCCCAUUCAUUCAUAUGUCCUGUCCUGUA